CCAGACUCCUACGGGAGGCAGCAGUGAGGAAUAUUGGUCGAUGGCCGAGAGGCUGAACCAGCCAAGUCGCGUGAGGGAUGACGGCCCUACGGGUUGUAAACCUCUUUUGCCGGGGAGCAAAGAGCGGGACGCGUCCCGCCUCGAGAGUACCCGGAGAAAAAGCAUCGGCUAACUCCGUGCCAGCAGCCGCGGUAAUACGGAGGAUGCGAGCGUUAUCCGGAUUUAUUGGGUUUAAAGGGUGCGCAGGCGGAAUGUCAAGUCAGCGGUAAAAUUUCGGGGCUCAACCCCGUCGUGCCGUUGAAACUGGGUGCCUUGAGUGGGCGAGAAGUAUGCGGAAUGCGUGGUGUAGCGGUGAAAUGCAUAGAUAUCACGCAGAACUCCGAUUGCGAAGGCAGCAUACCGGCGCCCAACUGACGCUCAGGCACGAAAGCGUGGGUAUCGAACAGGAUUAGAUACCCGAGUAC
rnacentral:rRNA from 1 species